UUAAUGCUUGCAUUAAAGAUUCUAGUGGCGAACGGGUGCGUAACGCGUGGGAAUCUACCUAGUAGAAGGGGAUAGCCCGGGGAAACCCGGAUUAAUACCGUAUACCUCCUUCGGGAGAAAGAAGGCCUCUCUUUGAAGCUUUCGCUACUAGAUGAGCCUGCGUAAGAUUAGCUUGUUGGUGAGGUAAAGGCUCACCAAGGCGACGAUCUUUAGCUGGUCUGAGAGGACGAUC
rnacentral:rRNA from 1 species